rnacentral:rRNA from 1 species
AUUGAACGCUGGCGGCAGGCCUAACACAUGCAAGUCGAGCGGAUGAAGGGAGCUUGCUCCUGGCUUCAGCGGCGGACGGGUGAGUAAUGCCUAGGAAUCUGCCUGGUAGUGGGGGAUAACGUCCGGAAACGGGCGCUAAUACCGCAUACGUCCUGAGGGAGAAAGGGAGGGAUCUUCGGACCUCACGCUAUCAGAUGAGCCUAGGUCGGAUUAGCUAGUUGGUGGGGUAAAGGCCUACCAAGGCGACGAUCCGUAACUGGUCUGAGAGGAUGAUCAGUCACACUGGAACUGAGACACGGUCCAGACUCCUACGGGAGGCAGCAGUGGGGAAUAUUGGACAAUGGGCGAAAGCCUGACCCAGCAAUGCCGCGUGUGUGAAGAAGGUCUUCGGAUUGUAAAGCACUUUAAGUUGGGAGGAAGGGCAGUAAGUUAAUACCUUGCUGUUUUGACGUUACCAACAGAAUAAGCCCCGGCUAACUUCGUG